AUUGAACGCUGGCGGCAGGCCUAACACAUGCAAGUCGAGCGGGUGAGGGUAGCUUGCUACCUGAUUCAGCGGCGGACGGGUGAGUAAUGCCUAGGAAUCUGCCUGGUAGUGGGGGACAACGUUUCGAAAGGAACGCUAAUACCGCAUACGUCCUACGGGAGAAAGUGGGGGAUCUUCGGACCUCACGCUAUCAGAUGAGCCUAGGUCGGAUUAGCUAGUUGGUGGGGUAAAGGCUCACCAAGGCGACGAUCCGUAACUGGUCUGAGAGGAUGAUCAGUCACACUGGAACUGAGACACGGUCCAGACUCCUACGGGAGGCAGGCAGUGGGGAAUAUUGGACAAUGGGCGCAAGCCUGAUCCAGCCAUGCCGCGUGUGUGAAGAAGGUCUUCGGAUUGUAAAGCACUUUAAGUUGGGAGGAAGGGCGGUAAGUUAAUACCUUGCUGUUUUGACGUUACCGACAGAAUAAGCACCGGCUAACUCUGUGCCAGCAGCCGAC
rnacentral:rRNA from 1 species